rnacentral:rRNA from 1 species
GGUGAACGCUGGCGGCGUGCCUAAUACAUGCAAGUCGAACGCAUAGCGAAAGGUGCUUGCACCUUUCAAGUGAGUGGCGAACGGGUGAGUAACACGUGGACAACCUGCCUCAAGGCUGGGGAUAACAUUUGGAAACAGAUGCUAAUACCGAAUAAAACUUAGUGUCGCAUGACACAAAGUUAAAAGGCGCUUCGGCGUCACCUAGAGAUGGAUCCGCGGUGCAUUAGUUAGUUGGUGGGGUAAAGGCCUACCAAGACAAUGAUGCAUAGCCGAGUUGAGAGACUGAUCGGCCACAUUGGGACUGAGACACGGCCCAAACUCCUACGGGAGGCUGCAGUAGGGAAUCUUCCACAAUGGGCGAAAGCCUGAUGGAGCAACGCCGCGUGUGUGAUGAAGGCUUUCGGGUCGUAAAGCACUGUUGUAUGGGAAGAACAGCUAGAAUAGGAAAUGAUUUUAGUUUGACGGUACCAUACCAGAAAGGGACGGCUAAAUACGUG